rnacentral:rRNA from 1 species
UACGUAGGGGGCUAGCGUUGUCCGGAAUCAUUGGGCGUAAAGAGCGUGUAGGCGGUCCGGUAAGUCCGCUGUGAAAGUCAAGGGCUCAACCCUUGAAUGCCGGUGGAUACUGCAGGGCUAGAGUCCGGAAGAGGCGAGUGGAAUUCCUGGUGUAGCGGUGGAAUGCGCAGAUAUCAGGAAGAACACCGACGGCGAAGGCAGCUCGCUGGGACGGUACUGACGCUGAGGAGCGAAAGCGUGGGGAUCAAACAGG